GGAGGCGAGCAGGGAAGGGGCGUGCGCGCGUCGGCGCCACAGCUCUGCCAAAACAGAAGCCUGCAGGCUUGGGCGGGAAGCCCUGUGGGCCCGCUCUUCAUUCCUCCCUUUGUAACGGCAAGCUUUCUCUGGAGGCAUCAAGCCUUAUCUACAUUUUCUGCCUCCAAGCCCUGUAUCUUCCAGCAAGAGGUAUCAAGACUGCCUGCUGUAGAACAACUUUUCUCCUGUGGGAAGAAGACACAGCAGAGGGCGUUAAACAGAGCUCUCAUCUGGCUGGGUAAAUGAUUUCCCCUUCAAGUGCCUGUCUCCUCCUAUGGGGUGGUGAGAAGGGAUGUUGAGGCUACAAUCUCUAUCCUCUAGAACACUUUGGAAAGUUCUACAUUCAUUAGCCUGAUUGUUCUCCACUCUGUUCAAGCAACUUCAGAGGCUGAUCAACACAUUCCUGGCACUGCAGCUCUUUGCUAACUGUCUCCAAAACUUUCUCUUAAAUAUACCAGGAACUCAAAGAGGCCUGCACAAUCUGACUCAUCUGGAACAAAGGAAAGAAGGCAGGACACUGGAGUGGCGAGAAAAGCAGGAAGAAGGGAGAAAGCCUCCUACUUUCGUUUUUCCACCUCCUGCUCUGCAAACUUCAAGCACAGCCCAUCUGUUUGGCUCACUUCCUUGUUCUCCUCUGCACUUAGAACUUUCAGAUAGCACAUGUUAAGUGACCCACAACAAAAAUUUCAUCCUUGAAGAUUUGCUUUUCUUGGGCCGUUGCAGCAAGGUGAGGUAUGUCGGAUGGACUCAGAAUCCAUAUUAAUCCACACGAUGGCUUGAUAGGAAUAAGAAAAGCAAGUUGUUGACAGGAUACCUUGAUUCCACAACAGCUUAGGAAAACCUAGGAGGCACGAUUGAUGAAUUAUGCACCAGGGAAAAAUGAUAAUAAAGGAAGUGAAGUCUUCUUCAUUUGCAUCAUUACAACCCACAUGAAGCAUCGUCAGAGCCCAAGGACACUCAUCAGCCAGGCAAAUAUAUUUGAGUUACAGUGUGGCCAGUGAUGGCCUGCGAAGACUUCCAAGGGCCAGAAAGAGAAGCCUAGAAGAUGUCGUCCUCUGCAGUCUAAGAUGUGCCACAGUAAGUCAAGUCAAAUUCCACAGAAUUUCCAAAUAAAGGUGCUUAGAAUCACUGAACUGGCAUUAAACUAUCUAAAGUCUGCACACCCAUAACUAUGCUUAAGUUAUUGUACAUGUGCAUAGUGGUUAUGAUGAGAACUGAGACUCCAGAGACCUAUGGGAUAAACAGAACAGGAGUGUGCACUGUGGAGAUGGGAGGAAAGAAGAAAAAGCAGGUGUUUGAUGGAUAUAGUGCAGAACUACCCUUUUUCCCCCUGCCAGAAUGCACAGCAGCAUCCCAAAGCAGUUUGAGUCAAUAUGUGUAUAUACAUGAAACACAGUGCAAAGGUUUACAGAUAUAUAAAAGCAUCUUUGUACUACCAUGCAAAAUGUUUUGCUUUACAGUCAUCAGAAUGCCUAUCAAAGGAUAAACACGAGAAACAGUUUCCCUUCAAAAUUAUAAAAUGCAGAGCAGAUUCAAGUGAGUAACAGCUUCAUGACUCAUUGCCCAAGUGGGCAAAGACAAUAAGGAAAAAGUACACGAUUUGCCUAUUUAAUAUUGAGGACCGGUUACCAGAAGCAUGCAAAAGAAAACAAUAGCAGCCAUUUGCUGGCUUGUGAUCAGUCAAGAGUGUUUGCUCAGAAGUGGGCAAAUUUGUGGAGAAUUUAACACAUGCAAUUGCUGGAGAGCAUUCCACAUUGUUUUUAAAGCAUGUGUAUAUUCAAAACGUUUAGCGGUAAUAGUUAAUUUUUAGAAGUGAGAUCUUGAAAGCUCUUCCUACAGUCCCAGAUGUAUGGAAGAGGGUUACUCAGCAAUGCCAAUGAGGAAAUGCAGUAUCCUCAUAUACACAUCAAAGGUGCUUUCUCAUUAUUAUUUCACCUGUUCCAGAACUGAGAAUUGGCACUAAAAAUAGGUUGUGGACCUCUUGAAGCUGGAUAUAUCACUCCUUGCAAGUGGAUAUACUGCAAGCAGAGAGAAAGAGACAGCAGUGAGUUCCAGUGUGGCACAACGGGAAAAACGGGUACAGCAAGUAAAAACUGAACACAGCCUGCAAGUGCGAGGGCAAACACAAGAGUACUGUAAUUGUGAAUAAGUCCACUGAAGUGAAUGGCUUAGCUGUACCGUGGUGCCCCGCAAGACGAAAUUAAUUCGUUCUGCAAUUUUUGUCGUCUAGCGAAUUUUUCG